rfam:Bacillus cellulosilyticus DSM 2522, complete genome.
UCCAGUGACGAUAGCGGAGAGGUCACACCCGUUCCCAUGCCGAACACGGUAGUUAAGCUCUCCAGCGCCGAUGAUAGUUGGGGGUUUCCCCCUGUGAAAGUAGGACGUUGCUGGGC